AUGCAGAGAACUUUCCUAGAGAUGGAUUGGUGCCUUCGGGAACGUCUGCACAGGUGCUGCAUGGCUGUCGUCAGCUCGUGCCGUGAGAUGUUGGGUUAAGUCCCGUAACGAGCGCAACCCUUGUCCUUAGUUACCAGCACGUUAUGGUGGGCACUCUAAGGAGACUGCCGGUGACAAACCGGAGGAAGUGGGGAUGACGUCAAGUCCUCAUGGCCUUUAUGACCAGGGCUACACACGUACUACAAUGGCCGAUACAAAGGGCAGCGACACUGCGAGGUGAAGCCAAUCCCGUAAAAUCGGUCUCAGUCCGGAUUGGAGUCUGCAACUCGACUCCAUGAAGUUGGAAUCGCUAGUAAUCGUGGAUCAGCAUGCCACGGUGAAUACGUUCCCGGGCCUU
rnacentral:rRNA from 1 species